CGACAGUUACAAUGGUCAAAUUCUCAUUUUGCUGCUUGUGAUGAAAACUGCUAUAUUGUGCCACUUUUAGAGUCACUUAAGCAGCUUCUUUCUAAUGACUUCAUCUUUAAUGAUGUAAACAAGAGCCAUCAAAGAACUGAUAAUAUUCUAUGAGACUUUUGUGAUGGUCAGGCUUACAAAGAUCACCUUUUAUUCCAAGAUCAUCCUAAUGCUUUACAAAUCAUGCUUUAUUAUGAUGAUGUUGAAGUAUGUAACCCUAUUGGCUCAAAAGCGAAGAUACAUAAAUUAGGUCAGUUUAAAUUGAGUCAGCUGAACGUUUUCAAUGUUCAAAUAGGUUUAUUUUAUUACACUCUUGGAAACUUGUCCCCAAAGUACCGGUCAUCUAUGGUAACCAUUCAACUUGUUGCCAUUGUUAAAUACACCUUACUACAACGAUAUGGCCAUGAAGCAAUUCUUCGUCCAUUUAUUGAUGAUGUAAAAGCUCUAGAAAGUGAUGCUGGUGUUACUCUGUGGAUUAAUGGAAAAUCUCAUACUAUUCAUGGAACUGUUUCAGUUAUGGCAGCAGAUAACCUUGCCAGUUGGAGUAUUGGAGGUUACAAAACAUUAGCAUCGGCUAAGAGGAAAUGUCGUUUUUGUAUGGCAACAUCUGAUGAUUUUAAAACAAAA